UACGUAGGGGGCAAGCGUUGUCCGGAAUCAUUGGGCGUAAAGCGCGUGUAGGCGGCUCGAUAAGUCUGCUGUGAAAGUCCAGGGCUCAACCCUGGAAUGCCGGUGGAAACUGUCGGGCUAGAGUACGGAAGAGGUGAGUGGAAUUCCUGGUGUAGCGGUGAAAUGCGCAGAUAUCAGGAGGAACACCAAUGGCGAAGGCAGCUCACUGGGACAUUACUGACGCUGAGACGCGAAAGCGUGGGGAGCAAACAGG
rnacentral:rRNA from 1 species